rnacentral:rRNA from 1 species
AACGAACGCUGGCGGCAUGCCUAACACAUGCAAGUCGAACGAGACCUUCGGGUCUAGUGGCGCACGGGUGCGUAACGCGUGGGAACCUGCCCUUAGGUUCGGAAUACCUCCCCGAAAGGGGUGCUAAUACCGGAUAAUGUCUUCGGACCAAAGAUUUAUCGCCUUUGGAUGGGCCCGCGUUGGAUUAGCUAGUUGGUAGGGUAAAAGCCUACCAAGGCGACGAUCCAUAGCUGGUCUGAGAGGAUGAUUAGCCACACUGGGACUGAGACACGGCCCAGACUCCUACGGGAGGCAGCAGUGGGGAAUAUUGGACAAUGGGCGAAAGCCUGAUCCAGCAAUGCCGCGUGAGUGAUGAAGGCCUUAGGGUUGUAAAGCUCUUUUACCCGGGAUGAUAAUGACAGUACCGGGAGAAUAAGCUCCGGCUAACUCCGUG